AUUGAACGCUGGCGGCAGGCCUAACACAUGCAAGUCGAGCGGAUGAGUGGAGCUUGCUCCAUGAUUCAGCGGCGGACGGGUGAGUAAUGCCUAGGAAUCUGCCUGGUAGUGGGGGACAACGUUUCGAAAGGAACGCUAAUACCGCAUACGUCCUACGGGAGAAAGCAGGGGACCUUCGGGCCUUGCGCUAUCAGAUGAGCCUAGGUCGGAUUAGCUAGUAGGUGAGGUAAUGGCUCACCUAGGCGACGAUCCGUAACUGGUCUGAGAGGAUGAUCAGUCACACUGGAACUGAGACACGGUCCAGACUCCUACGGGAGGCAGCAGUGGGGAAUAUUGGACAAUGGGCGAAAGCCUGAUCCAGCCAUGCCGCGUGUGUGAAGAAGGUCUUCGGAUUAUAAAGCACUUUAAGUUUGGGAGGAAGGGCAGUAAGUUAAUACCUUGCUGUUUUGACGUUACCAACAGAAUAAGCACCGGCUAACUUACGUG
rnacentral:rRNA from 1 species